GACGAACGCUGGCGGCGUGCCUAAUACAUGCAAGUCGAACGGUCUUUUCUAUGGAAGCUUGCUUCCACUGAGAAGAUAGUGGCGGACGGGUGAGUAACACGUGGGUAACCUGCCCAUAAGAGGGGGAUAACAUCCGGAAACGGGUGCUAAUACCGCAUAGUUUUCUUGAUCGCAUGAUUGAGAAAGGAAAGACGGCCUUUGUGCUGUCGCUUAUGGAUGGACCCGCGGCGUAUUAGUUAGUUGGUAGGGUAAGGCCUACCAAGCCAAUGAUCGGUAGCCGGCCUGAGAGGGUGAACGGCCACAUUGGAACUGAGAUACGGUCCAGACUCCUACGGGA
rnacentral:rRNA from 1 species